CCUACGGGUGGCUGCAGUAAGGAAUAUUGGACAAUGGGCGCAAGCCUGAUCCAGCCAUGCCGCGUGAAGGAUGAAGGUCCUCUGGAUUGUAAACUUCUUUUAUCUGGGGCGAAAAAAGCCCAUUCUUGGGCACUUGACAGUACCAGAUGAAUAAGCACCGGCUAACUCCGUGCCAGCAGCCGCGGUAAUACGGAGGGUGCAAGCGUUAUCCGGAUUCACUGGGUUUAAAGGGUGCGUAGGUGGGCAGAUAAGUCAGUGGUGAAAUCCCUGAGCUU
rnacentral:rRNA from 1 species